AGCGGCGGACGGGUGAGUAACACGUGGGUAACCUGCCCAAGAGACUGGGAUAACACCUGGAAACAGAUGCUAAUACCGGAUAACAACACUAGACGCAUGUCUAGAGCUUGAAAGAUGGUUCUGCUAUCACUCUUGGAUGGACCUGCGGUGCAUUAGCUAGUUGGUAAGGUAACGGCUUACCAAGACAAUGAUGCAUAGCCGAGUUGAGAGACUGAUCGGCCACAUUGGGACUGAGACACGGCCCAAACUCCUACGGGAGGCAGCAGUAGGGAAUCUUCCACAAUGGACGAAAGUCUGAUGGAGCAACGCCGCGUGAGUGAAGAAGGGUUUCGGCUCGUAAAGCUCUGUUGGUAGUGAAGAAAGAUAGAGGUAGUAACUGGCCUUUAUUUGACGGUAAUUACUUAGAAAGUCACGGCUAACUACGUGCCAGCAGCCGCGGUAAUACGUAGGUGGCAAGCGUUGUCCGGAUUUAUUGGGCGUAAAGCGAGUGCAGGCGGUUCAAUAAGUCUGAUGUGAAAGCCUUCGGCUCAACCGGAGAAUUGCAUCAGAAACUGUUGAACUUGAGUGCAGAAGAGGAGAGUGGAACUCCAUGUGUAGCGGUGGAAUGCGUAGAUAUAUGGAAGAACACCAGUGGCGAAGGCGGCUCUCUGGUCUGCAACUGACGCUGAGGCUCGAAAGCAUGGGUAGCGAACAGGAUUAGAUACCCUGGUAGUCCAUGCCGUAAACGAUGAGUGCUAAGUGU
rnacentral:rRNA from 1 species